rnacentral:rRNA from 1 species
AGAGUUUGAUCCUGGCUCAGAUUGAACGCUGGCGGCAGGCCUAACACAUGCAAGUCGAGCGGAUGAGUGGAGCUUGCUCCAUGAUUCAGCGGCGGACGGGUGAGUAAUGCCUAGGAAUCUGCCUGGUAGUGGGGGACAACGUUUCGAAAGGAACGCUAAUACCGCAUACGUCCUACGGGAGAAAGCAGGGGACCUUCGGGCCUUGCGCUAUCAGAUGAGCCUAGGUCGGAUUAGCUAGUUGGUGAGGUAAAGGCUCACCAAGGCGACGAUCCGUAACUGGUCUGAGAGGAUGAUCAGUCACACUGGAACUGAGACACGGUCCAGACUCCUACGGGAGGCAGCAGUGGGGAAUAUUGGACAAUGGGCGAAAGCCUGAUCCAGCCAUGCCGCGUGUGUGAAGAAGGUCUUCGGAUUGUAAAGCACUUUAAGUUGGGAGGAAGGGCAGUAAGUUAAUACCUUGCUGUUUUGACGUUACCGGCAGAAUAAGCACCGGCUAACUUCGUGCCAGCAGCCGCGGUAAUACGAAGGGUGCAAGCGUUAAUCGGAAUUACUGGGCGUAAAGCGCGCGUAGGUGGUUCGUUAAGUUGGAUGUGAAAGCCCCGGGCUCAACCUGGGAACUGCAUCCAAAACUGGCGAGCUAGAGUAUGGCAGAGGGUGGUGGAAUUUCCUGUGUAGCGGUGAAAUGCGUAGAUAUAGGAAGGAACACCAGUGGCGAAGGCGACCACCUGGGCUAAUACUGACACUGAGGUGCGA